UUACAAGUCUACGAUAAGACAAUAUCUCUGUACACUGAUUAGAACAAUACAGACCGUAAGGUUAUAAUUAUG
rnacentral:rRNA from 1 species